rnacentral:rRNA from 1 species
GACGAACGCUGGCGGCGUGCUUAACACAUGCAAGUCGAACGAUGAACCCGGAGCUUGCUCUGGGGGAUUAGUGGCGAACGGGUGAGUAACACGUGAGUAACCUGCCCUGGACUCUGGGAUAAGCGUUGGAAACGACGUCUAAUACCGGAUAGGACCUUGGAUCGCAUGAUCUGGGGUGGAAAGUUUUUUCGGUCUGGGAUGGACUCGCGGCCUAUCAGCUUGUUGGUGAGGUAAUGGCUCACCAAGGCGUCGACGGGUAGCCGGCCUGAGAGGGUGACCGGCCACACUGGGACUGAGACACGGCCCAGACUCCUACGGGAGGCAGCAGUGGGGAAUAUUGCACAAUGGGCGAAAGCCUGAUGCAGCAACGCCGCGUGCGGGAUGACGGCCUUCGGGUUGUAAACCGCUUUUAGUAGGGAAGAAGGGCUUCGGCUUGACGGUACCUGGAGAAAAAGGACCGGCUAACUACGUG